GGUUCGAUUAUGGCUCAGAUUGAACGCUGGCGGGAUGCUUUACACAUGCAAGUCGAACGGCAGCACGGACUUCGGUCUGGUGGCGAGUGGCGAACGGGUGAGUAAUGUAUCGAACGUAUCAGUAGCGGGGGAUAACUACGCGAAAGCGUAGCUAAUACUGCAUACGCCCUUCGGGGAAAGCGGGGACCUUCGGGCCUCGCAAUUAGAGCGGCCGAUAUCGGAUUAGCUAGUUGGUGGGGUAACGGCUCACCAAGGGCGACGAUCCGUAGUUCAUUUGAGGACGACCAGCCACACUGGGACCGAGACACGGCCCAGACUCCUACGGGAGGCAGCAGUGGGGAAUUUUGGACAAUGGGGGAAACCCUGAUCCAGCCAUCCCGCGUGUGCGAUGAAGGCCUUCGGGUUGUAAAAUGUUCUUUUGGCAGGAAAGAAACGGCACGAUAUUCCCGUGCAACUGACGGUACCUGCAGAAUAAGCACCGGCUAACUACGCCAGCAGCCGCGGUAAUACGUAGGGUGCAAGCGUUAAUCGGAAUUACUGGGCGUAAAGCGUGCGCAGGCGGUUCGGAAAGAAAGAUGUGAAAUCCAGAGCUUAACUUUGGAACUGCAUUUUUAACUACCGAGCUAGAGUGUGUCAGGAGGAGGGAAUCUUGCCGUAGCAGUGAAAUGCGUAGAUAUGCGGAGGAACACCGAUGGCGAAGGCAGCCUCCUGGGAUAACACUGACGCUCAUGCACGGAGGCAAGCGUGGGGAGCAAACAGGAUUAGAUAAUUCUGGUAGUCCACGUUCUAAACGAUGUCAACUAGCUGUUAAAAGUCCCCGAAAUGGAAAGUUAACUGGCGUAGUUGACCGCCUGGGGAGUACGGUCAAAAAGAUUAAAACUCAAAGGGAACUGACGGGGACCCGCACAAGCGGUGGAUGAUGUGGAUUAAUUCGAUGCAACGCGAAAAACCUUACCUACCCUUGACAUGUCUGGAAUCCCGGAAGAGAUUUGGGAGUGCUCGCAAGAGAACCGGAACACAGGUGCUGCAUGGCUGUCGUCACCUGCCGUGAGAUGUUGGGUUAAGUCCCGCAACGAUACAACCCUGGUCACCAGUUGCUACGAAAGGGCACUCUAAUGAGACUGCCGGCAUGUCCAGGAAGGUGGGGAUGUGACGUCAAAGUCCUCGCGGUCUUUGUUGGGUAGGGCUUCACACGUCAUACAAUGGUCGGGACAGAGGCUCAACCUGUGGGAGCCAAUCCCAGAAACCCGAUCGGUCCGAUCGCAGUCUGCAACUCGACUGCGUGAAGUCGGAAUCGCUAGUAAUCGCGGAUCAGCAUGUCGCGGUGAAUACGUUCCCGGGUCUUGUACACACCGCCCGUCACACCAUGGGGAGUGGGUUUACCAGAAGUAGUUAGCUCAACUGUAAGGAGGGCGAUUAACAUUGCAGGGAUCUUGCGACUGGGGUGAAGUCGUAACAAGGUAA
rnacentral:rRNA from 1 species